GGGUUUCCCAAAGGGGAGGGCCCGGCGGGCGGUGCCUCACAGCCCUCCGCCUGUGGGAGUGGCCCUUUCUACUAAGGAAGCAAGUUCUGCAUGUCCUGGUGACCCUCCACCUGUUUCAUAGAGUCUCAGGGGAGCUCGAGCCUAUCCCAGCUAUCUUAGGGGGAGAGGCAGGGUACACUCUCGACUGGUCACCAGUCUGUUGCAGGGCUAACACAUAGACACAGAAAACCAUUGGCACCUAUGGGCAAUUUAGAUUUUCCAAUUAGGCUAUUUCCACUAACUGCAGGUCGUUGGACUGUGGCAGGAAGCCGGAGUACAAGGAGAGAACCCACGCAAAACCGGGGAGAACAUGCCAACUCCACACAGAACGAUGGUAGAGCUGAACUCAGGACCUUCUUCCGGUUGGGUAACGGUGCUAACCAGUGUGCUGCCCUGGUAAGAGGAGAGCCACUGAGGGAACGCCUUCCGCCCACCGACGCCUCCACCGUGACCUCCACUUCUGAGAGGAAUUGCCUACAGAUCAAGUACGGAGUGUGCCUGAAUGGACAUACAGAACUCCAAGGUUCGGCCCUGCGUUGA